rnacentral:rRNA from 1 species
UCGGGGAACUGAAACAUCUAAGUACCCGAAGGAAAGGACAUCAAUUGAGACUUCCCUAGUAGCGGCGAGCGAACGGGAACCAGGCCAGUGUCUCUUCUUGAGUCAGCGGAACGAUCUGGAAAGUUCGGCCAUAGCGGGUGAUAGCCCCGUACGUUAAAGCGAUUGAAGAGACCUUGAGUAGGGCGGGACACGUGAAAUGCUGUCUGAACAUG